rnacentral:tRNA from 1 species
GCGAGAGUGGCGGAACUGGCAGACGCACUGGACUUAGGAUCCAGCGCCUUCGGGCAUGCGGGUUCGAAUCCCGCCUCUCGCA